GGGGUGGAUUUUACUUGCUCAACUUGGCUAUCUUUCAACCAUCCAUCAAGAUAAACUUGAUUGGGAUUUGGGGUCGAUCUUGCCUUGUCAACUUGGCUAUCUUUCAACCAUCCAUCAAGGUAAACUUGAUUGGAGUUAGGGGUGGAUUUUCCUUGCUGAACUUGGCUAUCUUUCAACCAUCCAUCAAGAUAAGCUUGAUUGGAGUUUGGGGUCGAUUUUGCUUUCUCAAGCUGGGCAUCUUUCAGCCAGCCAUCAAGGUAAACUUGAUUGGAGUUAGGGGUGGAUUUUCCUUGCUGAACUUGGCUAUCUUUCAACCAUCCAUCAAGAUAAGCUUGAUUGGAGUUUGGGGUCGAUUUUGCUUUCUCAAGCUGGGCAUCUUUCAGCCAGCCAUCAAGGUAAACUUGAUUGGAGUUAGGGGUGGAUUUUUCUUUCUCAACAUGGCUAUCUUUCAACCAUCCAUCAAGAUAAACUCGAUUGGAGUUGUGGGUGGGUUUUGCUUUCUGGACCCGGCUAUCUUUUAACCAGCCAUCAAGGUAAGCCUGAUUGAGGUUGUGGAUAGUUUUUUCCUUUUGAUCUUUG
rnacentral:lncRNA from 1 species